rnacentral:tRNA from 1 species
GAGCUGGUAGUUAAGUUAAUAUGAAAUUGCAAGUUUCAAGAUUUAAGGCUUU